rnacentral:rRNA from 1 species
AUUGAACGCUGGCGGCAGGCCUAACACAUGCAAGUCGAACGAGUGGCGGACGGGUGAGUAAUGUCUGGGAACCUGCCCGAUGGAGGGGGAUAACUACUGGAAACGGUAGCUAAUCCCGCAUACUAUCGGAUGUGCCCAGAUGGGAUUAUGUAGUAGGUGGGGUAAGGGCUCACCUGGGCGACGAUCCCUCGCUGGUCUGAGAGGAUGACCAGCCACACUGGAACUGAGACACGGUCCAGACUCCUACGGUAGGCAGCAGUGGGGAAUAUUGCACAAUGGGCGCAAGCCGGAUGCAGCCAUGCCGCGUGUAUGAAGAAGGCCUUAGGGUUGUAAAGUACUUUCAGCGGUGAGGCGUUACUCGCAGAAGAAGAACCGGCUAACUCCGUGCCAGCAGCCGCGGUAAUUC